UACGAAGGGGGCUAGCGUUGCUCGGAUUCACUGGGCGUAAAGGGUGCGUAGGCGGUCGGGUAAGUCUGAUGUGAAAUCUCACAGCUUAACUGUGAAACUGCAUUGGAUACUAUCCGGCUCGAGGAAUGGAGGGGAGACUGGAAUACUUGGUGUAGCAGUGAAAUGCGUAGAUAUCAAGUGGAACACCAGUGGCGAAGGCGAGUCUCUGGACAUUUCCUGACGCUGAGGCACGAAAGCCAGGGGAGCAAACGGGG
rnacentral:rRNA from 1 species